rnacentral:lncRNA from 1 species
CCGACACUUCCCGCGGGCCCCGCUCCGGCCGCGGCUGUCGGGGAUCCCCGGAUCGAGAGCGGGAGAUUCAUCCCCCCGCCGCCAUCCCCCCGGAAGGAGCGUAACGCCCUCCUGCGCAGUCCGGCGGGGAUCGAAGGGCGAGCCGCAGCGGAGUGGCGCAGCGUCCGUCUGUGAAUAGCGGCCUCCCGCCGCCCCGCGCCAUCUUGACUACCAGCCGGGGGGCAGCCUUCCCCCUCCCUCUUCAAGAUGGCGCCGGCCGGGUGAGUGACAUGUCCAGUCACGUGGGCAGCGGAUGAGCCCCUCUCUCCCCCCGCCUUAAAUGAUCUCUAUGGUUCAGCCGGACACACAGGCGGCGGUGGCGGCAGCGGCGAGGGACGGAGCCGCGGCGGGAGCGGGGCCGCGGCGCCCGCCCGGCGCCUCCUUUGUCCUGCGGCCUCGGCAAGAAACCUCAGCACAUUUGGUUUUAGGAGCAACACAGGAUUGGUGAAAAGCAACAAAAUCCACCUUGGCUGCUGCGAGACAACAACGGACAUUGUAGAGUACCAACUAUAGCCCAGCACAACAAGGAAGAGACACGAAAACCUCAAGCUUCGCUACCGAGCUCCAUUUAUGAGGUCGACCAUGACCGUAAGUGCAGUAGUGGUGCAGGUUCUUGACGGCUAGCAGAGCCCUGCUUUUCUUUCUCAUUGCCUGCUUCCAGGGCAGAAGGGGAGAUGAGUCUAUUUAUUUUCCAUUUUCCUGAGUGGAGGAGCAGUGACUCAACUGAGAGGUUCACAAGAGCUGAUGUUCUUGCUCCUGAGCCUUGUUUUGGGUAGUGUGUAAAUGCCAGCCUUCAUCCAAAACCACCAGUGUCCUGAAAGAUUUAUCCCUCUACUUAUGUGGUUGUGUCCUACAAUUGUUUAGCCGCUGCUUAGCCUUGCAGGUCCCUAAGAAUCCGUGUCUCCACUAAUCACUAGGAGGCUCAGCUGCCUGCUGCUGGCCACGGGCGGGGGGCUUCAUGGGACCAAGCCAUCCGAUGGCCACAGACUGGUGCAUUCUUCCCAGGACUUGCAGAUAUCUGAAGCUUUUUAAUACAGA